UGAGAUGCACCUACUUCUCUUUGGGGAAACGUGAGGAAGCAGGAAUGCUGGAGAUGAGGGCUGUGGAGGCCCCACAGGGUCGCGGGGUGUCCCUUAUGCUGCGUUGAGGUGCAGGAUCAGAGAAGUAAAGAGACAGGACACUGAAGAACCGGUGAAGAGCAUCUGGACUCGGGGGGCCAUGCCACCUGUGAGCGGAGAUCAGCGACGGCCCCCAAAGGCCCAAGAGCAUCUGUAUUUAUUAGGGCUAUUUUGGACUCAGUAUUCACCUAAGCCCUCCAAAUUUGACAAUCCGGGCCUUUCACCGUCACUCAGGCAUGGACCAUCGCUGUUGCCCAUGCCAUGCCAUGCCAUCAACAGGCCCGGCACAUCCUGCCCACGCGGCGCAGUGCUGCAGCUUCCCUCUGGUCACGGGUCUGGCCGUCGGCUCGCCAAUUCCUCCAGCUUCCAUGGGACUCUCCGGGUGUUAGCACUGCAAGUUCCUCAGCAAACUGGGACUGUCGGUCGCCUACCUGGCAGCCAGUGAUAAGCACUUCGCAUCGGGGUAUGUUGACAGUAGAGGAAAAUCAAGAUUCACAGUAUACAGCACCAGAAGCUAGUCUGUGGAAAAACCUUCCAGUCAUCAAUCAGAUGUGUAAAAUUAGUCCUGAACUCCCAUCCCUACCUCAGAAGAGACUCCUCUGUUCACAGAAGCUAAAGCCAGCUCCUUCCCAAUGGCAACUAUGUUUGGAUGUUGGAUCUACACUUUCUCAAGCACUGUGAUCUUCAAAUCUCAUCAUCCAUUUUGUUGGUGCUGUUUUGCUCAUGUCUUUGAACACAUCAAAAGUGGCUUGAUUUUCUCUCUUCUUUGCUGUCUAUUCACUGGCUACAAGAGCGUGCUGUCCAUUCUAGAUUUUGGAUGGGCUGCCCAAAAUCACCACAGACUUCGCUUCUUAGCCAUCUAGAGGAAAGCAGAAAUGAAAGAGCCCUGCCAGUGUGUUUCCUGUCUGUAAGUUUCCUUGGACACAAACACAGGAGCAGAGUUUCUGUGGAGCAGCUGGUCUCCCCAUUUUGGAUUUUGCUGAGGCGGGUAGUUGAACUCUUUGAAGAAGUCUGGAUUUUCUCUGUCUUGGGAAAUUACUGAUAACAUCAGAACCAGAAGGAG
rnacentral:lncRNA from 13 species